UCCGCCCUGGCCGCAGUAGCUGGGAUCCCCUCCCACACCCCCCGCCCCCUCAUCUCUCCGCCUUAACGCUUUCACGGCCGGGGCGGAGAGACCGGCAUGGGGAAGGGGACCCAGGCGUUCAGGUCAGCUGGGGAAGAGUCCGGCAUGGGGAAGGGGACCCAGGCGUCCGGGAGGGAGCCCCCAGAACUCCCUCAGAUGUCACGGGGGAGAAAGGAAGAUCGGGAAGGGGACCCAGGAGUCCGGGUUCUCUGGGGAAGAAACCAAGAGGAGGAAGGGGCCCCAGGAGUCCGGGAGGGGCCCCAUCGCUCUCGGCUCCCAGCAGGAAUUGGAGGCAGGUGUCCAGGAGGGAGCCCCCGCAACCCCCUCAGAUCUCAGGAGGAGGGGAAGCGAAGAUGGGGAAUUGGACCCAGGAGUCCGGGGUGGCAGUGCUCACCCCACCUUCGCUUGGGACGGCUAGCUGUGACCCAGGCUCCAUGGGGUUAACUGACUGGGUGAGGGGCGGAAAUUAUCUGCCCCUCCCCCCAACCGGCUGUUCCCUGCGGGACCAAGAGUCAGGGGAGAUCAUCGGGGGACAGGAAACCCGACCUCACACCAGACCGUACAUGGCUAUCGUGAGCACAGGGAUAAGGUGAAAUUGGGUUCCUGAUCCAGGAGGAUGUGUUGGUGACAGCGGCUCAUUGUAACUGCAACCUGGAGUAAGAAAUGCAAGAGCCGCUGCCCCGGAGCCAGUCAGUUCCCCUCCCUGGGGCCAGGCCAAAGCCGGCGCCCCCUGCAGGGGAAAGACCCUGGUGGGCUGGCUUCUGUACAUUGAGCCUGAGUGCAAGGCAGCAUCUACACCCACCUACUUUAGCAAACUUAACAACCUGUGACGAAGUGGGAGAUUUUCUUAGUCUUUUGUGUGUGCCUCAGUUUCCCCAUGUGCUGCGUGUGCAACGAGGGGGUUGGAGAGGGGGGUUUGUUGUUGCAGAGGACCGGGGUGACCUCACCUAGCAGUCGACCCCGGACAACAGCCGGGAGAUGGGGUACCCCAGCAAUUGGUGACCGGGAGGCCCAGCCCAGCUUGGAAGGCAGCUGGUCCUGGCCAGCGGGAGGACAAUGGGCUGAGGAGAGAGGACCCCAGCGACCAGAGUAGCUGGUUCCUGCCAGUGACUUCGCUAAUGCCUCAUAUGCAGCCUGUUGUAAAACGAGGCAAAUAUCUACAUGAGUUGAUGUCCCCCCGGAAGAGCUCUGCGUCCCCCCCAACGGCAUGUGAGCCCCUAGUUGAGAACCACUGAUAUAGGCAGGAAGGAGGGGGCAGCUGGACUGGGGAGACAGAGAGCAGCCAGAGCCCAUCUGGAUGCGGGGGACAGCUUGAUGAACUGGGUUGAGGGUUGCUAGGCCCGAGGGCCCGGAGAGCUUCCUCUGCUGGGUUCAGACAUUCACUGAACCUCCUGUUUUCUGCUGGCUGAGAGUCACUCCAGUCUCGAGAUCGGGGUGGCAUUAUUCCCGUGGGCGUGGAGGCCCUGCGGGGGCCAGGGUGUGCGGACUCUCUGAGGGGGCCCAUGGCGAGAGACAGGCGUGCUAAUGCUCAGAGAUCCGGCCCCAGGAGGUGGUGGGGCCAAAGGGCCUAACCCCAGCGAGAGAGAGUGCACCCUUCAUGUUAGGCUGUCAUGCCAAAGGAGGGUUACUCCCAGGAGCUGUGUGGAGCCGGGAAGCAUGAAUCCUGUGAGUCUAGGACAACUUGGCGGCAGAAGAUGGUUGGUGGAUGCACCCUGUAGACAGUUGGCUGCGAGCGGAGGGGCUUGCAGUGAGUGGCUUCCAGCGAUAAAACAAGGGAAUUAAAGGAACCAGCAAGGAAAUGGCCUAUAACCAGUUCUCUAACAGGCACCUUGCACCCCUGUGCAGGGAGAGAAGGGUGAGUCCCGUUGGGGGGCUCACUCAGGGGUAGCUGAUUACCUGGCUGGUAGAGAGUGACCAGUCCGAGGAGCAAGAUCCAGAUCCCAGCAGGGCACCUGGACAGCCUGUGAGUAGUAGGGGGGUCACUGGACCCGGUUCCCCAGCCAGGAGGGCGACUUCCCAAGCUGGGUCCCCCCUGCCUGCCCCUCGGUGGAGGUGAAGAGAUGGAAACUGGAGCUAAGAGUGAUGGAGCUGGAGCAGCGGAGACUAGCAGACUGCUUGGAGCAGCGAUAACAUGAACUGGAGUUGGAGGAGAGGUGGGCCAAGAGGACCUGCCAUGGGGUAAGUGGGGAAGGACCCCAAGAUGCCAAUUCUUGAGGGAACCUAGAUCCUAAAGUGUGCCCAGCAGAGAUAUCGAUGCCGACCUCACUGCCUGUGUGAAGACUUGUGACCUGAACCAGGUUGACCCCACGGACAGGCUCUGCUGUCUAAACCCUGGCUUGGUCCCAAGGCCAUAGGGACCAAGAAAGCUGGCUAGAUUCUCAGGCUCAAUGGGUAGUGAUCAAUGGUUCGAUGUUUAGUUGGUAGCUGGUAACAAGCAGGGUGCCCCAGGGCUCGGUCCUGUGGCUGGUUUUGUUCAACAACUUUAUUAAUGAUCUGGAGGAUGGUGUGGAUUGCACCCUCAGCAAAUUUGCAGAUGACGCUAAGCUGGGGGGAGAGGUAGA